UGUAGGGCUACCAUGGUGGUAACGGGUAACGGGGUGUUAGGGCACGACACCGGAGAGGGAGCCUGAGAAACGGCUACCACAUCCUAGGAUGGCAGCAGGCGCGCAAAUUACCCAAUCCCGACACGGGGAGGUAGUGACAAUAAAUAACAAUACGGGGUUCUUUAGGAUCUCGUAAUUGGAAUGAGUACAAUUUAAAUCUCUUAACGAGGAACAAUUGGAGGGCAAGUCUGGUGCCAGCAGCCGCGGUAAUUCCAGCUCCAAUAGCGUAUAUUAAAGUUGUUGCAGUUAAAAAGCUCGUAGUUGAAUUUCGGGGUUAGUAGGUUGGUCAUGCCUCUGGUAUGUACUGGUCUCACUGAUUCCUCCUUCCUGAUGAACCUUAAUGCCGUUAAUUUGGUGUUUUGGGGAAUUUGGACUGUUACUUUGAAAAAAUUAGAGUGUUUAAAGCAAGCUAACGCUUGAAUACAUUAUCAUGGAAUAAUGAAAUAUGACGUUCGAUCCUAUUUUGUUGGUUUCUAGGAUUGACGUAAUGAUUAAUAGGGAUAGUUGGGGGCAUUAUUAUUCAAUUGUCAGAGGUGAAAUUCUUGGAUUUAUUGAAGACUAACUACUGCGAGAGCAUUUGCCAAGGAUGUUUUCAUUAAUCGAGAAGGAAAUUUAGGGGGAUCGAAGACGAUCAGAUACCGUCGUAGUCUUUACCAUAGACUAUGCCGACUAGGGAUCGGAU
rnacentral:rRNA from 1 species